UGUCUAGUGAUAAGAUUAAUAUAUUGUAUAUAAAUGGGGAUAACUCUUACCUUACAAAUCAAUUUUGUAAGCUUGAGUUAGUUAGACCCAUAAUCUACUUUUUAAGAUGGUAUUAAAGCCGAUCCUAACAAUAUGUUGUCUUCUAUUUUUAAAAUUCAGAUUCAGUUGUUCUGUUACAAUUUUCUUGAGACACAUCCUUCCACACACAAAGAAAUCUCAAUGCAAGCCUGCUUUACUAUUUUUUUGUGUUUUAAAAUGCUAUCUAUUGGGGCAUUCUUUGGAUUUUUAAAUUUUGACUGAUCUCUUUCUGCCUCUUUAUCUGUAGAAUUCAGGACUCAUAUUGCAUGUUCCCGUACAGUUCACUGUAAUAUUAUCGAUGGUUCUUUAUUUUUCUUCUGCAUCUCUCUACUUUUAUUCCCCCCUCACCCUUCAAAAAGAAAAAAAAAAAAUCAGUUCUGUCUAAUAACACCUUGUUCCUGGAUAUUUUAUUUCUCUCUUGGUUUCCAUGUGAUAACAGGUUAUACGUUGUGAUACCUGUGGGGCUGCAGGGUUUGACAGAGAUCUCUUUGUCACAAGUGCCAUGAAGGCGCAGAGCACACUUACUGUAUGCAUCCUGAUGAGCAGUCAGAACUAGAAGCAAACUGGAAGUUCGUGAAGAUUGGACAUGUCAAGAGUGCAUGCCGAGGGAAGGUACUAACAAAUUAGUUGAAGAUGAAGUUGAAGUGGCUGCAAGAAAAAGGAAGGGGCAUCUAUUUGAAAGUUCAACAAACUUUGAAUCUAGUAAAGGUUCAAAUUAAAAUCUAGAUCUUCAUGUACUGGGAAAAGUGGGGAAAAUAGUGCUGAGCUAUCAUCUAGAAGACUACUAGUCCCUGCCAAAAAGUUUACAUUAAAAUCCGUAAACAGAAUGUUUUAUUUUGGGCAGGAAAGAUCUAAUGGUGAAACUUCAUUUCCUGGACAUAGAUUACUGGUAAGCAAUGACAACACUCACAAAGACCCAAACUUUCCAAAUGGAACGAAGAAAAAUGAGAGCCAGCAAGGUGAACAGCAUAGAAAAGCUGGUAAAUCCACCAGCAUGUUUGAAUUAUGGACGGAUCCUGAUUUUGAUGGAAUGGCCUACUUCCAAAUGGAAAGAAGAAAAAUGAGAGCCAGCAAGGUGAACAACUCACAAAAGCUGCUACAUCCAUGAGCAUGUAUGAAUUACGGACUGAUCCUGCUUUUGAUGAAGGGACCUACUUGAGAAACUUGGUCCAGGUUGAGGCAGCAUAUCUUUCACAUCGUGUUGUGGUCCCAAAGGCUGAUCAGUGAUCACAAAUGGCUAGGCAAGUUUCAGAUACACAACAUUGAGGGUAUUGCAAGGACUUGGGAUGCGAUUCAAGCUCACUUAUCGAAUCGUGCAUCAGCCGAAGUUCUUGAAGUGGCGAAUACGAAUAGGCUUUCUGAGAUUAUUAUACUGGAGGAACUACCUCGAUUGAGGACUUGGCCAUCUCAAUUUAUGAGAAGUCAAGUCACUGAAGAUAAUAUUGCUCAGUACUUUUUUGCACAUGACUCUGAUAGCUAUAUAUAUUAUGAACAAUUGGUGAAUUACAUGAUGAAUAAUGACUUGGCUCUGAAAGGACAUUUGGAUGGGGUUGAGCUUUUAAUUUUUCCAUCUAACAUUCUGCCUGAGAAUUUCCAGUGAUGGAAUGGCAUGUUUUUCCUUUGGGGUGUAUUCAGAGGACAAAAGGCGAAUAACUCAGCAAGCACACCCAGUGUCAAAUUCUCUCAAGGAGAGCGGAUAACCAAUGCAGAUGUAAGCAGAGCUAAUGCACAUACUUACAGUCUUGCAGCUAAAAAAAGGAGAUGACAUGGCAAUAGUUGAUGAAAUUCCUGAAUUUGAAUCUUCAGGAGACACAGUUUUGGCGGUUGGAGAGAAUUCCGAUAGUAAAGGAGGAGUGGCAAAUGCAGAGCAUGCAGUUGUAGAUAUUAAUAAGUUUCACUUUGGCCUAAAAGUGAAACCCAAGAAAAUGGUUCUGUUGGGAUUGAGGAGUCUCUUGUACCACCUUCAACUCCAGAUUCAGACCGGUUGCAAGCUGUGGCUGCUUUGUUUUUGCUCGCUGAGGGUCACAUGGAGUUUUGAGUGCUGCAUUUGAAGAACACGUCUUAUUUAUAGUUAUCCUUUUUUAUGUCGCGUGUCACUGAGUCACUGUCAUAUUCAUAAUUCAUCCAUCGUGGGGAUAAUCUGUACCAGAACGAUUGGCAACUUAAGGAUACUUCCAUUCUUCUCUCUAGAGAUAAGUCUUCAAUGCCUCAUUUGAAGAACGCUUUUUUAUCGUUACCCUCAACCCCUUCAUAAACUUUAGAAUCUAGAAUGGGUUAUUGCUUGUUUCUUGCUUUCCAGUAUUUUUGUUGUUGCAAAUUUAUGGCACUUGACUUUAUUUA